rnacentral:rRNA from 1 species
AGGUUUCCGUAGGUGAACCUGCGGAAGGAUCAUUAAUGAGAUUAUAUUAGCAUUUGGGAAGAAGGCUGUUGCUGGCUUAACUUUGCAUGUGCACGCCUUAUGACCGGAUGUUAUUUGUCCUAUUCACACACCUGUGCACCAUCUGUAGCUUAGGGGAUGAUCACGAGAUUGUCGAAUGCCCCCUGGCUAUGAAUUGUUUUUACAUUGCCUAAUAUAAUAAAAAGUUUUUUGGAACGUUUGGGAAUUGGAAUAUAUAUAACUUUCAGCAACGGAUCUCUUGGCUCUCGCAUCGAUGAAGAACGCAGCGAAAUGCGAUAAGUAAUGUGAAUUGCAGAAUUCAGUGAAUCAUCGAAUCUUUGAACGCACCUUGCGCUCCUUGGUAUUCCGAGGAGCAUGCCUGUUUGAGUGUCAUGAAAUUCUCAACUGCUUUGGCUUUAUUGUUCAAAGUGAAGUUGGAUGUGGAGUUUAUAUUGUCGGCUGUGGUUCGACUACUCCAAAAAGCAUUAAAGCCUUUUUGUAACAUCUUGGCAGAAAGUAUCUUUGACGUGAUAAUUGUCUACGUCGUAGAGAAACGCCUCGAGGGCUUUGUAACAAUUUUUUUUGACCUAUUCGACCUCAAAUCAGGCAGGACUACCCGCUGAACUUAAGCAUAUCAAUAAGCGGAGGAAAAGAAACUAACAAGGAUUCCCCUAGUAACUGCGAGUGAAGCGGGAAAAGCUC